ensembl:lncRNA
GGGAAACAGGAAGGCUUUGGAGUCGCUGAAGCCAGCAGAAGAAAAUCUAGCACCUGGGGCCACUUCUGACGAACUCCAUGGCUUUCUAUGGCUCUGCGCUGAGAAGUGACUCAAGGCCAAGUUCCAUUGCCUGAUCUUCCUGGCUUCCAGGGACAGACCUCAUUUGAUCAGCUGGCUGGGGCGCUGUAUCUGCACAGCUAGGGCCAGACCUUGGCGGGUCCUGACCUGGGCCUGCUUUCCCCCCACCUCUGCCUCUUUCCUUCUUUCAUGCUUGCUCCCAUUUGGUCCUUCAGGGUCUUGUUUUAGAGCUAUCUCGACUUCUUCCCAAUUAGAUGAGACUGCUAUACCCAAGGGAACUUGGCCUAGGGCAGUAGGCCUGUAGCUGUAUCAGCCCCCAAGCAUGCCCUGUCUCUUGCUUAUUUGUGGCCUUGUCUUCUCAUCCGUAUUGGAUACCCUCUCCUCCUCUGUGUGUCCCUGUCAGAGCACCUGUGCUGCGCGACUGCUCGGCAAAUCCUGGAAGUUUUGAACUAAAGCAAGGAGUUUUAAAUAAACCAUACACAUUUCUUAAGCUGCUGGAUUCUGUAUCCCGUGUUCAAAUGAAAGAAAAUUUGUCUUCUAAUUAGGUUUUAACAAAUUGUACUUGACCUUUGAGCUCUAUUUUUCAACCUUGAGAGCAGGCAGUAAAUGGAAAUUCCAAGGCUUGAUUUAAUAAUAAAAAUCACUUCUAUUUGUCUAAUACUUUACAGCCCUCAGGUUACAUUGCCUUCUCUCAUCUUGUACAACUCGUGGCACCGGUGGGGAUCCACCUCAUCUCACAGAUGAAGAAACGGAGGACCAGAGAGGACAAAGCCUCUGCCCCAAACCACUCAGCUUAUAGGAGGCAAACCAAGGACCCCAACCAGGAUGUCCUAACUCUUGCUCCCGUGUGCUUUCCCCAAAGAGAAUGUGUCACACAAGAUGACCUUGAACCUUCCCAUGCCCUGAAUACUAAAAAAUGGAUCAAGAAAAUGAUGUACGAAGAAAAAAAGAGUGAGUAUAAUAAACCUUUACUAAUUUACACUGUAUGUUCAAGCUACAUUUAUUUUCACAUUGUUGUUUGUUACUU